rnacentral:piRNA from 1 species
AAUAGAUCUCUGCCAAAGACAAUGC